UGACGUGAGGUCAUGUCUCGUAGGAGGGAGCGGGGGUGUUUGUUGGGUGGACGGUGGAUUAAGAUUGACGAAGGCUCGGCUGUUCCACAGGCUGCUGAAGAACAUCAAAUCACAAAGUUGACUUCAAUCCAGAAAAGGUUCUCAUCCCAAAACGGUGACUGUCCCACUGAGUUCUGUAGCAGUCCGUGUGCUGCUCUGGAUUCCAGCAUCUGUAGUCUCUUGUCUUAAUUUUGACACUCUUGAAGCAGACUGAUAAUUGAUGCAUGGUGCUGUAUAUGGUGCAGCUGUAGAACUCAGUCCACUUGGACUGAAGCCAUGGAUUUCCCAGAAUGUGCAAAGGAUCUUGGCACUGGGUGAGGACUCCCAGAAUGAGGCUGCAUCUCCCAGAAUAGUACAUGGUUCUCCAAGAAUGAAGCCAGGGAUCGAAAAUGAGAAACAGGUCUUCCACUCAGUCAAGACUAGGAGAAAAGCCACAGAAAUUCAUACACUACUGCCAUGAACAAAUACAAAUACAAAGCAUUGUAUCAGGGGAAGGAGUGCAUCUGGAGUCGAGAAGAAGGAAGACCACAAUCUGUGCAGAUUGUUGAUAACAUCUCCUCCUCGCUGACGAUCAACACUGGUGCACUUCAGGGGUGUAUGCUUAGCCCACAGCUCUACUCCCUCUAUACACAUGACUGAGUGGCUAGGUAUAGAACAAAUACCACCUAUAAAAUUGCUGAUGAUACAACCAUUGUUGGUGGAAUCUCAGAUGGUGACAAGAGGGCAUAUAGGAGUGAGAUAUGCCAACCAGUGGAGUAAUGUCACAUCAAAAACAUGGCACUCAACGGAGCUGAUUGUGGACUUUAGGAAGGGUAAGACGAAGGAACACAUACCGAUCCUAAUAGAGGGAUCAGAAGUGGAGAGAGUGAGUAGUUUCAAGUUCCUGGGUGUCAGUAUCUCUGAGGAACUAACCUUGUCCCAACAUAUUGAUGCUGUUAUAAAGAAGGCAAGACAGUGACUAUACUUCAUUACAAGUUUGAAGAGAUUUGGUAUGUCAACAAAUACACUCAAAAACUUCUGUAGAUGUACCGUGGUGAGCA